CCUACGGGAGGCAGCAGUAAGGAAUAUUGGACAAUGCUCGCAAGAGUGAUCCAGCCAUGCCGCGUGCAGGAAGACGGCCCUAUGGGUUGUAAACUGCUUUUGAACUAGAGAAAACCCUCCUACGUGUAGGAGGCUGAUAGUAUAGUUAGAAUAAGCAUCGGCUAACUUCGUGCCAGCAGCCGCGGUAAGACGAAGGAUGCAAGCGUUAUCCGGAUUCAUUGGGUUUAAAGGGAGCGUAGGUGGACUGAUAAGUCAGUGGUGAAAUCUCUCGGCUUAACCGAGAAAUUGCCAUUGAUACUGUUGGUCUUGAGUACAGUUGCUGUGGGCGGAAUAUGACAUGUAGUGGUGAAAUACAUAGAGAUGUCAUAGAACACCGAUUGCGAAGGCAGCUCACAAAGCUGUAACUGACACUGAGGCUCGAAAGUGCGGGGAUCAAACAGGAUUAGAUACCCUGGUAGUCCGCACCGUAACGAUGAUUACUCGCUGCUGGGAGGUAACUUUCAGUGGCUUAGCGAAGCGAUAAGUAAUCCACCUGGGAGUACGCCGGCAACGGUGAACGUCAAAGUAGUUAGUUAGCGGNGNGAGAGCGACGGACGACGACGACGGAGGGAGGAG
rnacentral:rRNA from 1 species